CUCAUUUCGACAUUUCAUUGUAUUAAAUACAUAAACCGCAUGCCGUAAGUUCUUAAAGAAUUUGGAGUAGUUGCCCUUUGAAAUUCUUUAAAAUUAGAGUACCGGUAGUUGCCCUUAUAAUAUUGACGUCACAUUUUUUUGUCUGGAUCAGAACAAAAUGGCAGCUUCAAAAUUUGCUCAAAUCUCUGCAGAGGAAAGGAAGAAAACAUUUCAAAUUGAAAAGCAACAAAACAUUAAACACGUGUGUCAAUUAGGCAAGGGAAAGGAGGAAAAGAUCGAGAUAAAGAUGACACUUAAGAAAAGUUACAGACGCAAAAAUCAUAAAUU